rnacentral:lncRNA from 1 species
UUCUCAGAAGAAUAGCUGAAGAAGAUUCAGGGGCAGAGAUUACAGAGGGAAGACAGACAAUGCAAGUUGAAGCUCACAGGACAAGGGCACUGAUUGUGUCUCUGUGUGUGUGCAUGCACAAAUGCACAAAAGAAACAGAGUAAGAGCAGAAGCUGAUGUGGUCUAACACAGGAGUCCUCAAACCCCAGGCCACAGACUGGAAGGUGUGUUAGGAACCUGGCCGCACAGCAGGAGUUGAGCAGCAGAAAUUGGCAUGCCACCUUUCAUUCUGUCUGUUUGAGAGAUUGAUUGUUUUCCCUAAGGAGCUGAUCGUAUAUUAUUCUGGGAAGCCUGAGUGUUAUCUUACAGGCUACAGAGAACACUACAGGAACUGUCCAAGUCGUGCUAUUAUCUGGUUUAAUUUUCAGGAAUAUGACCCUGGUAGCAAUAAAAGAAAAAAAAUGGCAGGAAUGUUUGAAGGAAGUCCCUAAAACUAUGUAGGCAAGAGAUAAUGAGGCACUGGAGGAGGUGGGGGACCCCAAGCAGCAAGGCUGGAAGACUCUCCCUAUAAAUGGGCA